rnacentral:lncRNA from 1 species
AGCCAGAGCAAGGAGCCUGGUUACAUCGGUCAAUUGUUUUUGAAGGGACAGUUCCUGAAGUUGGACUCUCGAUCCCAAGGCCUAUCCCCAUCCCAAGUCCUCCAAGUGGAAACCGCAAAAGGAAGCAGCCCUGACCAGCCCUCAGACAUUAUUGCAGCGCCCCCAGUUGCUGGAGGUGCAAGGAAAUCUCGGCUGCGUUCACUUGUUAAUCUUCGGGCUGUUGUACAAACGAAGAGUUGGAGGGUUAUCCAGUAUAUUAAUGUCUUAUUGAUAAUGGCAGAACAUCCACCACUACUGGAUACAACUCAGAUUUUAAGUAGUGAUAUUUCUCUUCUCUCUGCCCCUAUUGUAAGUGCAGAUGGAACACAACAGGUAAGGAAACUGAAUAUUUAUUUUCUUAUGUCUAGUAUACAUGUAUUUC